CUCGGCGGAGCUUGAGGCGCAUCGAAGAUGGCGACCGGAGGGUAGGGUCGGGCCGGAGACGCGCACCGCAAGGCAACCUCUCGUCCCCUCCCCUCCCCGGUGAAGACGGCGUGGAGUAUCGGGGCGAGCCGCCCGCUCGGGUCGAGUCCGAUCUGGUGGCGGGUUCCUCCAGUUUUCCGCUAAAUCAGGAUUCCGCCGAGGCGCGCAGUGGCUAAAACAUACUAACCCAUACACACGCACACGCAAAUUCGCUCGUCCUUCAUUUGUGUCGGUACCUAAAUAAGCGAUUAACACGCGCGUAACGCAACUCGUUCGCUCGUCAACGAUCUAGUCAGAGGGAUAGAGGAAAAAGAA